GAGGUUAUAGCUCAGUGGUAGAGCGCGUGCUUAGCAUGCACAAGGUCCUGGGUUCAAUCCCCAGAAUCUCC
rnacentral:tRNA from 1 species